AUUGCUAGGGGUGCCUUAUGGCUGAGAGGACAAUUUGUCUAACUCUUGAACCUGAUGUGGUUAAUACCACCGUAGGGAAGCAUUAUAA
rnacentral:ncRNA from 1 species